UAGAGUUUGAUCCUGGCUCAGGAUGAACGCUAGCGGCAGGCUUAACACAUGCAAGUCGAGGGGCAGCGCGGGAUAGCAAUAUCCUGGCGGCGACCGGCGGAAGGGUGCGUAACGCGUGAGCGACAUGCCCGUUGCCCGGGGACAACCGGUGGAAACGCCGACUAAUCCCCGAUGGGAUAUUGUGCCGCAUGGCACGAUAUUGAAAGUUACGGCGGCGACGGAUUGGCUCGCGUCCGAUUAGCUUGUUGGCGGGGUAACGGCCCACCAAGGCUGCGAUCGGUAGGGGUUCUGAGAGGAAGGCCCCCCACAAUGGGACUGAGACACGGCCCAUACUCCUACGGGAGGCAGCAGUGAGGAAUAUUGGUCAAUGGGCGGAAGCCUGAACCAGCCAUGCCGCGUGCGGGAAGGAGGCCCUAUGGGCUGUGAACCGCUUUUGCCUGGGGGCAAUAAGGGCGUCGCGCACGUCCGAUGAGAGUACCAGGCGAAUAAGCAUCGGCUAACUCCGUGCCAGCAGCCGCGGUAAUACGGGGGAUGCGAGCGUUAUCCGGAUUCAUUGGGUUUAAAGGGUGCGUAGGCUGUGCGUCAAGUCGGGGGUGAAAUUCCGGUGCUCAACACCGGGGCUGCCCUUGAUACUGUCGCGCUGGAGUGCGGAUGCCGCCGGAGGAAUGAGUGGUGUAGCGGUGAAAUGCUUAGAUAUCACUCAGAACACCGAUUGCGAAGGCAUCUGGCGAAUCCGUAACUGACGCUGAGGCACGAAAGCGUGGGGAUAGAACAGGAUUAGAUACCCUGGUAUUCCACGCCGUAACGAUGAUGGCUAACCGCCGGCGACACACUGUCGGUGCCAGCGAAAGCGAUAGGCCAGCCACCUGGGGAGUACGUCGGCAACGAUGAACUC
rnacentral:rRNA from 1 species